rnacentral:rRNA from 1 species
UUGGAGGGCAAGUCUGGUGCCAGCAGCCGCGGUAAUUCCAGCUCCAAUAGCGUAUAUUAAGGUUGUUGCAGUUAAAAAGCUCGUAGUUGAAUUUCGGGGUCAGUAGGCUGGUCGUGCCACAGGUAUGUACUGGUCUCACUGAUUCCUCCUUCCUGAUGAACCGUAAUGCCAUUAAUUUGGUGUUGCGGGGAAUCUGGACUGUUACUUUGAAAAAAUUAGAGUGUUUAAAGCAGGCUAACGCUUGAAUACAUUAGCAUGGAAUAAUGAGAUAGGACGAUCGAUCCUAUUUUGUUGGUUUCUAGGAUUGACGUAAUGAUUAAUAGGGAUAGUUGGGGGCAUUAGUAUUCAAUUGUCAGAGGUGAAAUUCUUGGAUUUAUUGAAGACUAACUACUGCGAAAGCAUUUGCCAAGGAUGUUUUCAUUAAUCAAGAACGAAAGUUAGGGGAUCGAAGACGAUCAGAUACCGUCGUAGUCUUAACCAUAAACUAUGCCGACUAGGGAUCGGAUGAUGUUAAUUUUUUAAUGACUCAUUCGGCGCCUUACGGGAAA